rfam:Picea glauca, whole genome shotgun sequence.
GGGUGUGAUCAUACCAGCGUUAAUGCACCAGAUCCCAUCAAAACUCCGUAAUUAAGUGUGCCUGGGCUAGAGUAGUAUUGGGAUGGGUAACCUCUCAAGAAGUCCUAGUAUUUCACCCU